CAGGUAAACACCUUCAUCUCAAGAGCCAUCCUGGACUCAACUGGUUGCAGAAAACUUCUUUUGAGGCAAAAGAAGAAAUAAGACAAGAAGCACUCAUUUGGAAGGAUCGGUCAGUGAAGAGAUAAAAGGAAAAAGGCUGAAGAAGAGCUAUGGACCAGAGGAGACCACAGAGAUGUGAUGCCUGAAUAUAAUGUGUAAAGCUGGGCCAGUUGACGGGACCCAGGACUGGGAAACAUGGCACAACCAGAUUACUUGGACAACAGGUAUGUGGUUUUGUGGAGGCACCAUUCCAACCUUUUGCUCAUCUUCCUGUGAGCUGUCACGUCUUAUUGAUUUGGAAGGCUCUUUAUAUAUUCUGAGUAGAACUCCUUUGUCACACGCACUGACUGAGGAUGUCCUCUCUUGUUCCGUGAUUUGCUUUGCCAGUUCUUCACGAUAUUUCUUGCCCUUCUGAAGAGUGCACUCACAGCGGCCCAUUCAUUAGGACUCUCACAACAGCGGCAGCGGCGGCGGCGGCGGGCACGGAAGUGCCAGGCUGGGGAGGAGCCGGCCCUCUGUAGCUGCACAAAGCCAAUACUUUUUUAAAUACAUUUA